rnacentral:lncRNA from 1 species
CGAGCCGGGGAGCUGCGUGCGUCCUCCAGCCCCCCGCUCCCCGGAAACCCGAGGGGCUGUGCGCACCGUGCCGGGGACCCCAGUGCGGUGCAAACGCCGGAAGCAGGCGAGGGACCCGCGAGACCUAAGUGGGGACGAGUGGGGGGCGACAGACCGGGCUGGGAAAUUGCCAACCCGUCCCCGGAGACUGCUUUUUGGGAGCCCCGUCCCUUCCCCGGAGGAGGCAAAUUCCACAGGGAGAGAGAAAAGCUGUGACAGAAAAAAGCAGAAAGUGAAGCAACAUGUAAGCCAGCAGCCUGAGGACCACACCAUCAAUGAGAGAUGCUGGGAAGAGAUGCUGGGAAGAGAUGGCCCGAGAGUCCAAGAGCAUGAGAUGAGUUACACAUGGAUGUUCUCUGCUGGGCACAAUAGGCCUCAGGAUAAUCAGAGAGACAGUAUUUAUCUUUUAAGCCAAGAAACAGGAUGAGUGAAAGCCCAAUAACAACUGGAAUUGGUUGGUCAGUUUUUUAGAAACAGAGACAGGAUGAAACACC